rnacentral:rRNA from 1 species
GGUAAGUACGGAGGGGGUUAGCGUUGUUCGGAAUUACUGGGCGUAAAGCGUACGUAGGCGGGUUGUUAAGUUAGAGGUGAAAUCCCAGGGCUCAACCCUGGAACUGCCUUUAACACUGGCAACCUAGAGUUCGAGAGAGGUGAGUGGAAUUCCAAGUGUAGAGGUGAAAUUCGUAGAUAUUUGGAGGAACAUCAAUGGCGAAGGCAACUCCCUGGCCAAAGACUGACGCUCAUGUGCGAAAGUGUGGGUAGCGAACAGGAUUAGAUACCCUGGUAGUCCACACCGUAAACGCUGUCUACUAGCUGUUUGUGGAUUUAAUCCGUGAGUAGCGAAGCUAACGCGAUAAGUAGACCGCCUGGGGAGUACGGCCGCAAGGUUAAAACUCAAAUGAAUUGACGGGGGCCCGCACAAGCGGUGGAGCAUGUGGUUUAAUUCGAUGCAACGCGAAGAACCUUACCAGGGCUUAAAUGUAAGAUGCAUUAGUUAGAGAUAGCUAUUUCUUCGGACUUCUUACAAGGUGCUGCAUGGUU